rfam:Salmo salar isolate Sally breed double haploid chromosome ssa19, whole genome shotgun sequence.
AAUGCACCAAUUUGUAAGUCGCUCUGGAUAAGAGCGUCUGCUAAAUUACGUAAA